rnacentral:lncRNA from 10 species
AAAUACAAAACAAAUUGCCAGGCAUGGUGGCAUGCACCUGUAGUCCCAGCUACUCUGCAGACUGAGGCAGGAGACUCGCUUGAACCUGGGAGGUGAACGCUGCAGUGAGCUGAGGUCGUGCCACUGCACUGCAUUCUGUCUCUAGCCUAGGAGACAGAGCGAGACUCUGUCAAAAAAAAAAAAAAAAAGAGGGAAAAGAAGUUCUGCUCUUGUUCCUGGCGCUGGGACUCUCUCUUCCUCCUCCUGCCCUUGGACAGGGCCCCCAGCCUUGGGACUCCAGGACUUAACACCAGCGGCUCCUUGGAUUCUCAGCUUUCAGCCCUGGCCUGAGUCACACCUUUAGCUCCCCUGGUUCUUCCGUUUCCUGACUUGGACCGAGCCAGGCUGCCAGCAUCCCAGGUCUCCGGCUUGCAGAUGGCAUCCCUCCCGGGACUUCUCGGCCUCCCUAACCGCAUGGGCCAAUUCCCCUGACAAACCCACUAUCAUCCGUCUAUUAAUCCGUCUCUCCAAUAUAUUGGUCGGCCUCUGGAGAAUGCCUACUGAUGCGACACCUGUUUCUGUACACUGGCUUCUGCCUCAGAUCUCACAGGCGUGCCAGGGAAGAAGCAUUCCAGAUCCCAUUUAGGAAACUGUGGAGGACGGUGUGAAAGUAAAAGCUCAGGACCCCAAUUCAGGCUGCCAAAAGGACAGAACGAAGCCGAAGACGGAGCCGGUCAAGUUACUGCCUCUCCCUGUGUUGUUGGGCAGGCGCGACCUCGACCUUGCCGAGCCACGCUCCGA